rnacentral:ncRNA from 13 species
UUGCAGUACGAAAGGAAACACGUUUAACAUUCCCGUAGACAAGGAUAGAACACACAUAUAUGUCGGGUUAUCAUUAGGAUUUAAGGCGCGUAAUGAUUCUUCGUUUGAAUUAGCCAUUGUUUUAC